CACAACUUUCAGGGACCCUAUUUGGCUCUUGGGCGCUGCUUUCAGAACUACUGGCAAAAAAUAUACAAAAGAUAUGGAGAUUCUAACUCUGCAUGUAGCUCCCACUGCUGGUUAAUAUGGCAUAGUUUGUGAAAGGUGUCCUUGAUAGGUGCUAAGUCACUGUGAUGCUGUUCUCAAAUCUCUUACCUUGGAGAUUACGUUCUGCUGUUCUGUUGCUACGCUCCUGAAGAAACCCUGCCAAGCUGCCCUGCAGAGGGACACCAACACAACCGUGCAGGACUAAACUGACUGAAAAUACAAAAUAGAUUGCAAGGCCACUGAGUCAUCUGCCCACUGCGCAAACACACACACACACACACACACACACACACACACACACACACACACACACACACACCUGUCCACGAUCCACAGUCUCAGGGCUGACCUUGUCAAGCAGAGAAAGGUGAGGGCAGAGUAAGAGUGUACUGAAAAGGGCAAGCUCAAGUGACAAGAUGGCCGUGUCACCACAAGUGUGUGUGUGUCACCCCGUGUGACCCUCACGUUGUCGUGGUAAUUAACAAAACCUUUAACAAGAUGUGGGCGUCGCUGGCCUUAACGAGGAAAAUGUCACACUUAAAGAGAGGGAGACAAGGACACACACACACACACACAGUGAGACAAGAUGUGACAAGGUGUCAGAGUAACUGUGAUCUGGUAAAUGUCAUCUGACUAUUUAAUUUAGUGUGUGUGUGUUUCAACUUGAUCAGUUGGGAUGUAACCUAAAAUAUAUGCGUGUUGGGAGAUAACUGGCAGGGAAAAUCUCCAAUAACACAAAAUAAGAACGAAGCAAUAAGACAAGCCUAUGGGGGAUUCAGGCGAAGCGAUCUCUCGACGCUCUCCUCCUCCAACGGUCACAUGCAUACCUUCUCAUCCCCCCCUCCAUCCUCUUCCUCUCCGCUCUUUGUCUGUCUGACUCUGAGCCUAGAGGUUUGACAACCCAUUUAUGGAGAGAGAGAUUGUGUGUGUUGUCCAGGAACACACACACAUGCAGAGUUAUCCAGGUGGUACUCAGAGGAGCUGUUCGUUGUAAUGAGUGUAGAGUAGAACUAGACUCUCAGCACCAGCUUGGUAGUUAAUUAUCUGCGCUGUGAAUUGUUGUUGAGAGCCAGUUGGAUCAGGUGUACUAGAAAUAAACCAAUAUGUAGAAUGGCUCAGGGGGGAGGGGCAAGGUCAUACUGUGUUGAGAAACACUGGUAUGGUGCUGCUAGACAGUAUACUAUAGCACUCCCAGUGACAUGUGAAACCUGUACCUCUUGCUGUCUGGGAAAAAUAACAUACAGUUGAAGUCGGAAGUUUACAAACACCUUAGCCAAAUACAUUUCAACUCAGUUUUUCAAAAUUCCUGACAUUUAAUCCUAGGUCUUAGGUCAGUUGGGAUAACCACUUUUAUUUUUAGAAUAUGAAAUGUCAGAAUAAUAGUAGAGUGAUUUUAUUUCAGCUUUUAUUUCUUUCAUCACAUUCCCAGUGGGUCAGAAGUUUACAUACACUCAAUUAGUAUUUGGUAGCAUUGCCUUUAAAUUGUUUAACUUUGGUCAAACGUGUCGGGUAGCCUUACACAAGCUUCCCACAAUAAGUUGGGUGAAUUUUGGCCCAUUUCUCCUGACAGAGCUGGUGUAACUGAGGCAGGUUUGUAGGCCUCCUUGUUUGCACACGCUUUCAGUUCUGCCCACAAAUGUUCUAUGGGAUUGAUGUCAGGGCUUUGUGAUGGCCACUCCAAUACCUUGACUUUGUUGUCCUUAAGCCAUUUUGACACAACUUUGGAAGUAUGCUUGCGGUGAUUGCUCAUUUUGGAAGACCAAUUUGUGACCAAGCUUUAACUUCCUGACUGAUGUUUUGAGAUGUUGCUUCAAUAUAUCCACAUAAUUUUCCUCCUCAUGAUGCCAUAUAUUUUGUGAAGUGUACCAGUCCCUCCUGCAGUAAAGCACCCCACAACAGGAUUCUGCCACCCCCGUGCUUCACGGUUGGGAUGGUGUUCUUCGGCUUGCAUGCCUCCCCCGAUGAUCAUUAUGGCCAAACAUUUCUAUUUUUGUUUCAUCAGACCAGAGGACAUUUCUCCAAAAAGUACAAAUCUUUGUCCCCAUGUGCAGUUGCAAACUGUAGUUUUUUAUGGCGGUUUUGGAGCAGCCAAACAGGUUAUCUCAAUAUAGGACUCGUUUUACUGUGGAUAUAGAUACUUUUGUACCCGUUUCCUCCAGCAUCUUCACAAGGUCCUUUUGAUGUUGUUCUGGGAUUGAUUUGCACUUUUCGCACCAAAGUACGUUAAUCUCUAGGAGACAGAACGCGUCUCCUUCCAGAGCAGUAUGACGGCUGCGUGGUCCCAUGGUGUUUAUACUUGCUUACUAUUGUUUGUACAGAUGAACGUGGUACCUUCAGGUGUUUGGAAAUUGCUCCCAAGGAUGAAGCAGACUUGUGGAUGUCUACAAUUUUUCUUCUGAGGUUUUGGCUGAUUUCUUUUGAUUUUCUCAUGAUGUCAAGCAAAGAGGCCCAGAGUUUGAAGGUAGGCCUUGAAAUACAUCCACAGGUACACCUCCAAUUGACUCAAAUUAUGUCAAUUAGCCUAUCAAAAGCUUCUAAAGCCAUGACAUAAUUUCUGGAAUUUUCCAAGCUGUUUAAAGGCACUGUCAACUUAGUGUAUGGUUCUGACCCACUGGAAUUGUGAUACAGUAAAUUGUGAAAUAAUCCGUCUGUAAACAAUUGUUGGAAAAAUUACUUGUUGUGCACAAAGUAGAUGUCCUAACCGACUUGCCAAAACUUUAGUUUGUUAACAAGACAUUUGUGGAGUGGUUGAAAAACAAGUUUUAAUGACUCCAACAAAAUAAUUAUAUGUAAUCUUCCGACUUCAACUGUAUGUGGUUAGUGUCUGGGAAUUCAUAGCUGCAUUCUUAUGAAUGGAAGAGGCCCAGACACAGACAGGCAGCACAUACAGAAAUAGGAUCUUAAUCUGAUCACUCUUUUGUUGCAGUGAAUUUUCCUGUACUGUGGGAAUUCAGUGAAACCCCACACUAACACACUGUUAUAUUAAGAGUAUUGCACUUUUACUGUAGCCUACUUUUGUGCAGCUAAUAGCCUAACCACCGAUCAUGCAACAUUAUUGACUAAACGUUCAAAUCCUGUUGCUGCAGCAUUAUUUUGCUGUGACAAUAAAGGUCAAAUUAAGAUCCUAUAUCUGUACACAUAUACACCCAGUUGUUUGCACACACACUGUCAAAUAUAUAUUCUCCCUGCAUCUCUACUCUCGUUACGCCUCUCUGACCCUGUCAUUGUCUGAACCAACACACACACACACCACAAAAAAUUAUACCAGACACACAAUAGCAUUCUCAUUUUGGUGGGAGGAUAAUUUGUUCAGCAUCUGUGAAAUUAGACAAGGUUUUACAAUGUAGUGCUUUCAUUAUUGAUCACUGUCAUACACAGUGUGUUUGUGUGUGUGUGUGUGUGUGUGAUGAAGCUCCUUUGUAUGUGGUUCUUUUGUGGGCUGUGAAAUACAUGCUGCAGCUGUUUAACUUGUAUUCAUGCAGUAGCCCUUUACACAGUCAUGAAAGCAUAUGUGAAUGUAUUUGUGUAUGUACAGUGCACAUGUAGCUGUUAGUCUGAAUUCAAAAUUGAUUUAAUAUUAGUUUCUCUCUCUCCCAUCAACCCACAAUACCCGACAAUGACACAGUGAAAACAUGUUUUUAUAAUUUUUGCAAAUUUAUUGAAAAUGUUAAUGGAAUAUUUCUAUAUUUUAUGUAUUCACACCCCUGUCAAUACAUGUUAGAAUCACCUUAGGCAGUGCUUACAGCUGUGAGUCUCUAAGAGAUUUGCACACCUGGAUUGUACAAUCAAGCUCUGUCAAAUUGAUUGUUGAUCAUUGCUAGACAGCCAUUUUCAAGUCUUGCCGUAGAUUUUCAAAACGAUUUAAGUCAACAAUAACUAGGCCACUCAGGAACAUUCAAUGUUGUCUUGGUAAACGACAACUGUUUUAGGUUAUUGUCCUUCUGAAAGGUGGAUUUGUUUCCCAGUGUCAAGCUUUUCCUCUUGGAUUUGCCUAUACUUAGCUAUAUUCUGUUUUUUAUUUUUAUCCUAAAAAAACUCCCUAGUCCUUGCCGAUGACAAGCAUAUCCACAACUUCAUACAGCCGCCACCAUGUUUGAAAAUAUUGUGAUGGCCCCUCCCUGCUCUGUCUACUGGGUUUUGCUGUGCUUACUUCCUGCAGGAGAUUGGUGGGCGGAGUAGGAGAGGUGGGCAGAGCUGGGAGGGUCGUCAGUGCUCAUGGGGCACACCUGUUGAAGCUCAGCUGUCAUAAAGCCACUGUUUCCCCAUUCAGCAAGAGAUUCCUCUCUCCAUGUAUACCUUUGGUUGUUUUGUUGUGGCUUUGGCAGUUGACAUCUAAUUUACUGACCUUCAUGCCUAAUCUGAUUAUUGUUGUGAGUGU
rnacentral:lncRNA from 1 species